rnacentral:lncRNA from 1 species
AUGGACGAGUUAACGAGAGAGAUGGACUUCUCGGCAAGCUUGUCAGGAGAAAAGGUUGUAACAGAAACUAUAACCACCACCACCAGACUGACUUCUCUACCACCAAAGGGAACCAGCGGAUCAAAUCACAGGAAUAUGUCCAGCGGUGCUGGAGGGCUGGGCUUGGAGAAGAAUGUCUUAACCCAGAACAGCAGUGGAACGUAUUUCUCCUCAUCCUCUGUAGGUGUGAACACCGGCAGCUUAAGCUCCUCCUCAGGAGUUUACCUGGGAGGAGACUCUUCAGGAGGAGGUGAUGGAGGAGGGGGCUACUUAGACGGAGGAGGGUAUGGAAGCGGAAGUGGAGGAGGCGGCGGCGGUGGCAGCAGUUACAUGGUGAGCUCGGUGUCAAAGGUCAGGUCCAGCUCGUCAGGCGGUGCCAGGAGAUCGCAGGCCAAUGGCUCGUCAGGAGGCCUGUCGCCAGGUUUCCGGGAGAGGAAGACCUUAACCAGCCGCUCAGGAGGCUAUGAUGGCAGUUCCAGCGGCAAUUCCUCUCCAGAGUUUACGCGCAAAGAUUAUGGGAUCUAUUGUGAGUGA